rnacentral:rRNA from 1 species
AAAGAGAAUGAGGAGCCGGUAUCAGGCUCAAUACGCCCAUGACACCUAGCCCCGCCACACCCCCAAGGGUAUUCAGCAGUGAUCAACAUUGAAAACUAGCGAAAGCUAGAUUCAGUUACUAGCUAAAAAAACCGGUCAAUCUCGUGCCAGCCACCGCGGUUAUACGGGCAGGUUUAAAUUGAUGACAUCGGCACAAAGCGUGGUUAAAUUCUUACCUUAAUAAAGCAAAAAAAAAGCCCGGCUGUGACAUGCUUUCGCUUUUAAUAACCUCAAUCACGAAAGUAGCUUUAACUAUUAUUGAACCCACGAUCGCUAGGGCACAAACUGGGAUUAGAUACCCCACUAUGCCUAGCCCUAAACUUUGACUACUCCGCCUGGGAACUACGAGCGUUAGCUUAAAACCCAAAAGACUUGGCGGUGCCCUAUACCACCUAGAGGAGCCUGUUCUAUAAUCGAUAAUCCCCGAUUCACCUCACCACCUCUUGCCAAUACCGCCUGUAUACCUCCGUCGCCAACUGACCCCUCAAGGGGAAUAGUCGGUUUAAUGGCCUUUUUCCAGUAAGUCAGGUCAAGGUGCAGCGAAUGAGGUGGGAAGAAAUGGGCUACAUUUUCUACUAAUAGACUAUACGAAAGAUCACUAUGAAAUCUGAUUGGAAGGUGGAUUUAGCAGUAAAAAGAGACUAGAGCGCUCUUUUUAAGUUGGCUCUAGGGCGCGCACACACCGCCCGUC